UACGUAGGGUGCAAGCGUUAAUCGGAAUUACUGGGCGUAAAGCGUGCGCAGGCGGCUUUGCAAGACAGAUGUGAAAUCCCCGGGCUUAACCUGGGAACUGCAUUUGUGACUGCAAGGCUAGAGUGCGGCAGAGGGGGGUAGAAUUCCACGUGUAGCAGUGAAAUGCGUAGAGAUGUGGAGGAAUACCGAUGGCGAAGGCAGCCCCCUGGAAUAACACUGACGCUCAUGCACGAAAGCGUGGGGAGCAAACAGG
rnacentral:rRNA from 1 species